rnacentral:rRNA from 1 species
ACUAAAUAGAUACCCUGGUAGUCCGCACCGUAAACGAUGAUCACUUGGUGUUGGAGGUAUUGACCCCUUCAGUGCCGAAAGCUAAACGCGUUAAGUGCUCCGCCUGGGAAGUACGGUCGCAAGAUUAAAACUCAAAGAAAUUGACGGGGGCCCGCACAAGCAGUGGAGCAUGUGGUUCAAUUCGAUGCAACGCGAAGAACCUUACCUGGGUUUGAAGUGCUAGUGAAUGUGGUAGAGAUAUCACAGGCCUUCGGGACGACUAGUAUCAGGUGCUGCAUGGCUGUCGUCAGCUCGUGUCGUGAGAUGUUGGGUUUAAGUCCCAUAACGAGCGCAACCCCUACUGUUUAGUUGCCAGCAUUAAGUUGGGCACUCUAAACAGACUGCCGGCGUUAAGCCGGAGGAAGGCGGGGAGUGACGUCAAGUCCUCAUGGCCGUUUAUGUCCAGGGCGUACACACGUGCUACAAUGGUCGGUACAAAGGGAUGCAAGAUCGCGAGAUGGAGCAAAUCCCAAAAA